GUACUGAUGUGGCUUUUAUCUUCCUGGAAAGACCUUGCCAACCCAAAAUCAGCAAUUUUAGCUCGGAGCUUUGAAUCUAAUAGGAUGUUGCUGGCUUUUAUAUCUCUGUGGAUGAUUCUAACAUUGGGGUUCUCAUGAAGGUAUCAUAUCUAGGACCCAGCCCAACGAUGGAACCGAAUUAUGAGUUGAGAUUUAACAGUGAGCAGAACAAUUGGAGAAAAGGUUGCAGAGUGAAACAUUAGAUCAAUACCAAAGAGGAAGCGGUCAAGGCUCGUAUUUGGGAGAAUUUCAUAGACAAGAAGGCUUUCUGGUCCUGAACAGCUGCAACCCAACAACCUGACCAAAUUCUUGUGUUCCAGGGUACUUAUCAUGUUAACUUCAUUGUAGAAAUCUGCAGCUCUAUGUCUGUUAUUAAAGAAAAGUCUCUUUACAGCUACCUCCCUUCCAUCAGGCAGAACUCCCUAGAAAUAGAGGUGAGUGAAUCAAGUCAGAAGACAAUUGGACGACAUACCAAAAGCAUGGUUACCCGAAAUCUUAGAAUUUUGACAAUUCCUCAACAUUUGGAUCAUGGUUUUAACUUUAGAUGCCCAAGAAACAGAUUUUGUACCAUGACACAGCCAUUUGGCUUCCUCACUUGUGGGAAUGUUACCUUGUAAACUGUUCCAAAUCCUCCUUGACCGAGCUUGUUGCUAUCAUCAAAUGAUCCGGUGGCCUUUUCAAGUGUAGAGUACUUAAAAUUCAAGCUACUGUCAUGAAGCAUCUUUGCCAUUUUUACCACAUCAUUUGUACCUUAAAAGCAGAUGAGAGAAAAAGAAAAAAUAUCAGUAUUAACAUCUAACCUGGUUAAGACUCUAUUGUCCUGUUAAAGUUUCAUCUUGUAGAACUCAAGAAGUUUUUCUGCACUUCAGAAGUAGCAAGGCAGUGUUUCAAAAGGCUUCCUAGGAAAAUAAUAAGACGCGGACCGUUGGAAAUCCAACAGCCACCCCAAUGAUUAAAGCAGCCACAGAACUCAGAAUGCCAGCCACUAUCGCUACUUUGCUCGCUACAAAGGCCAUCAAUGCAGAUGACUGGUCAGGAAGUUUGUGUCUGAAUACCUCAUGAAGCAACCUGUAUACAGUGCCCGCCCUUCUGACAAUGGCAAGCAACCCAUCAUUGAGGCUGAUGCUUUGUCCAAACAAGCUCUGCAAGAGGUUAUAUUAAGUGUUCUCCAGCAA